rnacentral:rRNA from 1 species
GGAGGAUCCAAGCGUUAUCCGGAAUCAUUGGGUUUAAAGGGUCCGUAGGCGGUCUUAUAAGUCAGUGGUGAAAUCUCCCCGCUCAACGGGGAAACGGCCAUUGAUACUGUAGGACUUGAAUUAUUAGGAAGUAACUAGAAUAUGUAGUGUAGCGGUGAAAUGCUUAGAGAUUACAUGGAAUACCAAUUGCGAAGGCAGGUUACUACUAAUGGAUUGACGCUGAUGGACGAAAGCGUGGGUAGCGAACAGGAUUAGAUACCCUGGUAGUCCACGCCGUAAACRAUGGAUACUAGCUGUUGGAAGCWAUUUCAGUGGCUAAGCGAAAGUGAUAAGUAUCCCACCUGGGGAGUACGUUCGCAAGAAUG